GUUAGAACAUAUUGCUGGUCCAUCUUUAUUAGUACACCACCCUGUGUUAAGCAGCAGUUUUGUUUUUUUUUUCCCUUUUUUUUUCUUUUGCAUGAUCAUGUAUGACAGGCUUCACUGUGUAUCAUUAUAUUAGUAACCAAAGGCAAAACAAACACCAUUAACUCAAAAAUAACCACCAGUACCGUAACUUUUAUUUGCUAAUAAAUAUCUUAAUAAACAGGCUUACCCCAUCUGUAAGACCUGAUAAUGCCUCUUAGGAAAUCAUAGAAAAAUAAAAUACAAUAAUAAUCAGUAACUUGUACUUUGUACAAAAAUCUUAUUAUGUUGCUCAGCAGGUAGCUUUGCCAAACCCCAUAUUCGUUCUGCAAAGAGAUGGCAUAUGUAAUGCAAUUCACCUUAAAAACACUCUAAUGUUGAGAGCUGAGCAUUCUAUAACACUAUUAACUCGUAGGCAUGCCAGCACAUGAGAAUUUACAUGGAACAUCGUAUUAUCAUAGGAGUAGAAUUAAAAAAUGAUAACGCCACUUUUUAGAAAAUAACAACUUCACUUCUAAUGUAAGUUCCCCUUGGGUCUGCGAAAUCAGUAUCUUAAGGUUUUUAUUUCAUGGCUAUUCCUGCAAUUUUGUUAUAAACUGGUUAAGAGAUGGAAAGAAAACUGUGGUUGGAGCACGUGUGGGAGAUAAACUGCAUGAAAAAAGGCUGUUCUGAACAGCGGGGCAGUCACAGCUCCAGCUAUGGAAUGUUCAGUCUCUCAGAAUUAGUAGACCUCACCUGCUGUGUGCAUUGUGACACAGGUUCAGUCUGAUGAAUGAAGACACAACUCAGAGGCACAGUGCCAAGGCUGCUUUUCUGUGAGAUGGAUGGUGAAGGUUCAGUUACAGGUAGUCAUCAUUAUGCAAAUAUAUCUUGGUGAGAAGAAAAAAAGGCAGCUGAAAGUCAACUGUGAUCUGGGGUCUUUAAAGAAAGAGUGGUUACCAGAGUACUGAUAAGAGAUCUGGGCUGAGGCCAUGGUUUGUCUGUAAAAUGGGUUGCAAGUAUGGAUUAUACUGUUAAUUUUGAAGCUAUCUACCUCUAAAGUUUUGACAUGGCUGCUUAAAUAUACAACGUGUCUGUCAUCAAAUAGUUAUUCAUAUAUACAAAUACAUUGAUACAUUUUAUGGCUAUGCUAGAACAGCAGACUAUGAGAAGCAGUCAUAUUCAAUUGUGUACAAUCUAAUUUCACAGAAGAGAUCAAAACUUCUUUAAUUGAUAUAUGUUUAAAACCAACACAGAGAAACUGAAGCUAUCCUGAGGAAACGUACUGACCACAUUGUGUCCCAAGAGAAAACAAAAGCUAAUUUUUGGAAGAUAAACAAAUAUUUUUCUCAUGACGAGAAAGUGAAAACAAUUGACACCGACUUGAUAGAUGAAGUUUGAUUUGCUAGAAAGUAAACAAUUGCCUUUCAGUAAAUAUGGUUUCCUGUCUUCUUUUUUAAGCCUUUUUUUUUCCCUUGUUAAACUGCAGAAGCAAUCCUGAGGAGUGCAGAGUAUCUGCUGUUGUUACUGAAGUCUACAGGAGUUGUACCGCACCAAAUAAGAGCAAGCCUCUUUUGUUACUCUUUGGGUUUUCCAUCACAACUUCACCAUGGAUGAUGUAACUGAUAACAUAAGGGAAUUUUGACAAUGGAACCAUAGCUCUAGGGAGGAAGAGAGAGGCUGUCAUCCAUUUCUAGACAACAAGCCAAGGAAGCUUGGGAAGCUUAAAAUUUUAAGGGCCAGUGGAGAAGAUCAACCCCAUUACCAUUAUGGAGAACCAGAUAAUUAAUUUAUGUAUGCUUGAAAAAUCUCAGGCAUUAUGAUAUACAUCGUAUUUACAAUUCUUUAUAUACACAUCCAUAUAUUUCUUAUAUCUAUUCUGUACUCAGUAUCUCCUAGUCCAUAAUCUGAGGAUCUAUGUACAACCAUAGCAUUCACAGAUGAGCAGUGCACAGUAUAUGAUGGGAGAAGAUCUUUGUGGACUCUAAAAACAUGGAACUGUUUUUAUGCCGUUUCUUUUGUUUUUGUUAGAACUCCUUGGCGCAAUACAGACAGCUUUUUUUUUUUUUCUCUCACCUUAUUCUAAUCCUUUGAGAUUUUUCCCGUCUCUUUUCAGUCCUGAUUCAUUGGUCUCUGAGAGAUUUCAAGAUCACUGCAGUACUUGGAGUUAUCCCAACCUAACAGAUCUCUCUCUUACUAUUAAAAAUAAAAUAAAAUAGUACUGUUAAUAAAGAAAAAAAAAUAUUAUCUUUGCAAUUUACUCAGGAAAGAUCAAUUACAAUUAGGGAGCAAGGGCAUUCCUAAAGAAAUCUGUUUAACAGAAUACAGUACUCUUCAACCAUGCACAAAUGCCAUGAUAAAUGAAGUAUCUCAAUUUUUAAUACUUUUCCUAGGAGAUGCAAUAGACCAAAACCUUUUUAUUAAUACUAUUUUGUUUCUAUAAAAGAUGUAUUAGACUGGAUUAGAAGUGAGCCCUCCUUCCCAAUCUAUGCAGUAUAUAUGCCAAGAUAGACUGAGCCUGUGAAGGGGUAGUUACAGGCAUUGUGUGUUCACAGGAGAAAUUUUCAGCUGCCAGGAUGAGUCUUGCAGAACCAUUCAUUCAAUCAACUGAGUUACAAUAACUGAAAACAUGCUUGAAUUUGCAAUGCUGAUACCUGAAGUGCAGUAACUGGCCUUCAGUGCAUGUUAAACGACAUUAUACACUUCCUUAUUUUGGUGGCUGACAUAGUUCCACAGGGUCAUUCUCACAUGGGAAUUGCUGUGGUAAAUACCCUCUUACUAGGUACCUCCACAGUCCCAGCUGUUCCACAUAAUCUCUACUGCACCUGAAUAAAGGGCAUCUUCUUGAUAUUUAUGACCCAUGUUUGGACUCUCUAUGAAUCUGUAUUGAAGAAGAACUUCAUAGAGCUGAGGAUUAGGCUCAGUAUAUCUAUAAACAUGGAAAAUUGAUAGUGAGUCUUACAAGUCUUAAAGUGGUAUAGUAUGAAUCCUGUGUCAGAAGAAACCAUCUUCUAUUUGGGGGAAAAUUUUCCCCCAAAUAGGUCUCAGGGUUCUGGGUUUCCAUCACAUGGGGAUGGCUUGAGUUUCCAUGUUAAACUGAUGACUGCCCCGCUUGGUUGCAUGAACAUUUAAGAUGCUUGUCAGUCAACUUGGGAAGCACUGUGGUCAGCAUAAGAUGGACAACUAGGUAGUACACAUGUUGACCAAGAGAUGCUAACCCAAUUUUCUUGCCCAGCAAAGGCCCUCACUAAAGCUAUCUUCUGAAGACUUAACUUGUGCAAAGGCAGUGAUAACAGUACAGAUGGAUUUGUUCUAGAUGCAUGACUGCCAGGUCUCUUAGAAAAGCCUGCACAUGGAUAUGACUUGUAAAUAACAAGCUUGGAACUGUUUCCUUAUGUCCAUAUUUUAAUCAUUUUUUUAGUGGGCUUGCAUAUCAUGCGGUCUUUAUUUCAUGAGUUUCUGGUGAGUUCUUUUAGUCAUUAAACACUGUGCAGUGUUUUUAGAUUUACUUGAAUAUGUUAAAUUUAAUCAGUAACUGCACACUAUGAUAUGCAGGUUAACUAAAUGAAGUAAUUUUCACCUGAAGAAAGUAUUCCCUGCAAUAAGUAAAGUUAGCUGAAUUUCACAUUUAUACUUGUGCCUUGCAAAAAACACCAUGUUUGUUUGUUCUUGUUUUUAAAUGAACAAAAAGAUAAACAGCCAUAAAUAACACUAGCAUUUUCCUUUGUGUUGAAUAAAAUGGAAGAGUAGGGUUAGAAACAUAAUAAGAGCAAAUCCAAUGUUUCCAAAAUGGAAUUAAAGUAAAUUUGAUCAGAACAACUAUUAUAAAAGUGUCACAUUGCACCACCAAAACAAAAAACUCAAACCAUAUAAACCCAAGAAAGCCUGGAUUUAUAAUGUUUUUAAUAAAUAUUCUCACUUAAAUCCCUUCUUCUUUUCUUUCUGGUUACCCAAAUUCUUAUUCAUAUAAAAAAUAGAUCUGAUUACUACAUGUUUUUCUACUGUUUUUAUAUAUUAUUUGAAAAUACAUUUUCAGUAGUGUGAUAAAUUUGGAAAUUAAUUUCCAUGAAAUAUAUCCAGGUUGUGUGCAUGUAACACACUGCUUUGUGUGCACACUACCAAGAAUGAAUAAACGUGCAAAGGAGAAUUUAAAAGUGAACACUUACGGCCUGGUCUAGUUAUGAGACAUUUUGAAACUCCAUUAACAAAUAAAAGACUCAUAUCUCCUCAGUAAUAAAUUUAAAUGUGAGAGGCUCCUUUCACAGAUAUCACAUUGAUGGCCAUAAAAUCAAUGACUGGCAUAAUAGAAAAUGAAAUAAUAAAGGAAAAUCAGGUCUUGAAUUACUCUGUGAUGUUGGUUUAUUUUUAAGGUUUCAGGUAAGUAUGAUUUUAUUUCUCUAAGGGAACUCUUCCAAAAAAAAACCAAAAAAACAACAAAAACCAACCUCUAAAAACUCAGAUUUGGAACUGGGGGAGAACUGAUCAAACUGAGGUUAGUGGGACUACCUACGCUGAUAAAAUUAUCUUUGUAGCUAAAACAAGACUGGCACUGCCCUUCUUUAAGCAUGCUUAUCAAUUUGAUAUCUCAGAAAACUGGUGAAUCCUUAUCUUCUGAAAACUCUUUCUUCAUUUAAAUCUGUUGUUUUGCUUUUUAACAGAAGAAAGAAAAUUUUCUGCACUUCACUACUGGUAUUCCAUUUAAACUAAUGAAGUUCUUCCAACAUAAGGUAACAACAGUGAAUCAGGCCUAGCAUGUCUUACUCUGUGAACCAUUUGGAAGCCUAAUCUUUUCUGAGUUGCUUUCUGCUUUUCCUUCUUUGCCACCAGUAUACAAUGGUAGCCUUUUUGAGAGUCAGGAAAUACAAUUUGAUUUACAAGCUGUAAAUAAAGCACUAAAUAUCAUUAUGAUUACAUAACGUAGUUAAUUCAUUUUGAUAUACACAUAUAUUAUAGUAAUUACCCAAACGCACAAUUUAACUGAAGAUUAGUAAUGUUUAAGUAUAUCGAACUGCCAUGUAACUUAAGAAUGUCCUCCAAACUAUGUAUAAAUUAACAAAAGCA